CUUUGUGUGGAGUUUGUGCUCCUUCUGGCAGUCAGUUGCACAUGUUCUGAUGAGUAGAAGCAUGGAGUGGUUGCUGUUGGAGAAGAGCUUCCAAAUCAUCCAGGGCAGCCCUUAAGGCAGCACUGCCAGGUCACCCCUAAAGCAUGUCCCUGAGCAGCACAGCUGUAGGACUUUUUGCUCCCCCCACGGAUGGGGACUCCUGCACUGUGCUGGGCAGCCUGUUGCAGGGCCUCAGACCUCUUCUGGGAAGGAGACUGUUCCUCCUGUCCAACCUAAACCUUCCCUGGUGCAACCUGAGAUCAUUUCCUCUCAUGCUGUCAUUUGUUAGCUGGGAGAAGGGAUCAAGGCCAGCCUGGCUCCAGCCUCCAGAGAGAGGGCGUCCAGGACCUUCCUGGGCAAGCUGUGCCAGUGUCUCCCCAGCCUCUCUGUAAAGAAAUUCUUCCCAAUGUCCGUUCUGAGUCUCUCCUUUUCCAGAGUCAGUCCCUUCCUUUCUGACUUCCUUACCAGAGAAAGGCUACUUUUUUUUUCCCGUGGUGUGAGCAGGAAUCCAUGAAAGGUCUGGAGUGGGCUGCAGGGUUGUGUAGAGGUGCAGAGGAGGCUGUGGGUGUGUGUAGAGGUCUUAGGGGUGUGAAGAAUUUGCAGGGAUCUCUAAGGGUCUGCAGACCCCUUUGAAAGGUCUGAAGUUGUCUGUAGAUGUCUUUAGGGUGCUGCAGGGGUCUGCAGGCACCUCUUAAAUGUCUGGAGGGGUCUGUAGGUGUCUGUAGAGGUCUCUAGAGCUUUGUAGAGGAAUGUGGGUGCCUGCAGCUGUCUCUAGGGAGGUGUGGAGGUCUGCAGGCACCUUUCAAAUGUCUGGAGGGGUCUGCAGAGCUCUGGCAGGGUCUGUAGAUUUUGGCAGGGUUCUGUAGGAGUCUCUGGGCAGCUUUUAAAGGUGUGGAGGGGUCUGCAGGUGCCUGUUGAGCUUUGUCCAUGUCUGUGGUGGUGUGUAGGUGAGUGUGGGUGUCUGCAGAGGUGUGAAGGGGUCUGUAGCUAUUUGUCAGGGUCUGAAAGAGUCUGCAGAGGUGUGUAGAGUUGAGUAGGUGUUUGGAGGUUUCUGUGUGGGUCUGUAGGUGCCUGCAGGCAUCAUUAAAGGCUCUGGAGGGGUCUGUAGAUGUGUGCAGGGGUCUGUUAAAUAUCUGGAGGGAUCUGGAUGGGUCUGGGGAGCUCUGCAGGGGUCCGUAGAUGCCUGUAGGGAUUUGCAGGGCUCUGUUAGUUAUCUGUAGAGGUCUGCCUGGGUCUGGAGGUGCCUUUUAAUGGGUCUGUGGAGGUCUGGAGGGUUCUGCAGUGGGCUGCAGUGGUCUGUUAAAGGUGUGGAGGGGUCUGUAGGUGUCUGCAUUCAGUGAAGGAGUUCUUUGGCUCCAGGACACUCUUGUCCAGUGUCUCUAAACCGUGACUGUCCCAAAUGAGAUAGAGGUGCACUGGCAGCGUGUUUGCAGAUGGCCCCAAGCUGAGUGGUGCUGGAGAGAAAGCAGAGGGGCAGGAUGGCAUCCAGGAAACACCUGGGCAGGCAGGGGUGCUGGGCCCAGGCAAAGCUUGUGAGGUUCCAGGAGAGCAAGGGCAGGGUGCUGCGUGUGGGCAGGAGGAAGCCUGCCUGUGCCUGCGGGCUGGGGGCAGAGGCGAUAAAGAGCAGCCCUGGGGGUGCUGGGGAGAAGCUGAGUGCGAGCACAUGGUGUGAGCUUGCAGGCCAGGAGGAGCCUGUCGGUGUCUGCAGGGGUGUGGAAGCAGCUGUAGGCAUCUGCCCAGGUCUGUAGAUGUCUGCAGGGGUCUUCUAAAAGGCCUGGAGGCUUUUCUGAGUGCGCAGAGGUGUGCGGGGUCUGGAGGCAUCUGUAGGUACCCUUAGGGGCCUGGAGGGCUCUCUGGAAGUCUGUGGAGCUCUCUGGGUGUCUGUGGAGGAGGUGGUUAGGGGUCUGUAGAGGUGUCUGUGGUGCUGUAGGUGUCUCAAAAGGCUGUGAAGGUCUCGAGGUGUCUGUAGGGGUCUGCAGGGUUCUCUGGCAGUCUGUAGAGGUCUGUGGGGGUCUCUAGGGGCCUCUUAAAGACAUGCAGGGGUCUGCAGGGCUCUAUGGAAAGGUCGGGAGGGGUCCCUAGAGGUCUCUAGGAGGCUGGAGGGGUGUGCAAGUGUCUGUAGCAUUCAGCAGGUGUGUGGAGGUUUCUGUUCUGGGCCCGCAGGUGUCUGCAGGCAUCUUGUAAAGGUCUGCAGGGGUCUGUGGAGCUCUGUCAGGCAUCUGUUAAGUGUCUGCAGGAAUCCGUUAAAGGUCUGGAGGGGGCUGCAGGGCUCUGCAGAGGAGGCUGUGGGUGUGUGUAGAGGUCUUAGGGGUGUGAAGAGUUUGCAGGGGUCUGUAAGGGUCUGCAGACCCCUUGGAAAGGUCUGAAGUUGUCUGUAGGAGUCUGGAGAUGUCUCUAGGGCACUGCAGGGGUCUGCUGCUGCGGGAGGAGUGGGGUGGCGGAGCCACGCCCCCCGGGCUGCGGAGCCACGCCCCCUCCCUGGCCUUUCUUGCCUGGCUCUGGUUGCUGCCUCUUUCUUUGCAUAGCCACACCCCCUGUCCCCUUGCUGUCUAGUCCCCGCCCCUUCCUUUCUGAGCCACGCCCCCUUCCCUAUUCUGUGUCUGGUCCCUGCCCCUUUUUGUUAGCCACGCCCCCUCAGUGCAAUGCCUAUUCCCUCCCCUCCAUAGCCACGCCCUCUCCCCAUGCUGUGUCUAGUCCCCACCCCCUCCAUAGCCACGCCCUCUCCCCAUGCUGUGUCUAGUCCCCGCCCCCUCCAUAGCCACGCCCUCUCCCCAUGCUGUGUCUAGUCCCCGCCCCCUCCAUAGCCACGCCCUCUCCCCAUGCUGUGUCUAGUCCCUGCCCCCUCCAUAGCCACGCCCUCUCCCCAUGCUGUGUCUAGUCCCCACCCUUUCCGUAGCCACGCCCUCUCCCCCAUGUUGUGCCUGGGCCCGCCCCCUCGGCCCCACCCCCCAGUAACUAAUAAUAUGGUGACAGAUUUGGAGCUUCCUUUGGAGGAGGAGUUCAGGAGGUGGCUGCUGAUUGGUGGAUUGUGAUGGGCGAGGUUUGCCGCUUGUUCUGCCUCCCUCAUUUGCAUACAUUUCAAUAUCAGGCUCUGCCUUUGAGUACCUUGGAGAUGUGUUGGGGGUUGGGGAGGGGUUACUGGGAGGGUCAGCAGCUGAUUGGUGGAUCCUGUGGGGGCUGUGGGCAUGGUCACCCCUGUGCCCCACCCCCUCAUUUGCAUAAAUGAAGGCAGGGUCCACCUGGCGGAGUUUGGUGCUUUAUUGGGGGGGGAAACUGGUUAGGACGUGGAGGGUCAGCAGCUGAUUGGUGCGUCCUCUGGCGUGGGCGGGGCCUGCCCCUGCCCCGCCCCUCCGAAGCGAUCGAUGGUCUCCAGCACAGCCCCAGCUGCUCCAGGAAGGAGGAGACCUCCCCCCGCAGGCCUCCAGCCCCCCGGGAGGCCCAGAGCUUGCGGGGGGAGGGCUCAGGGGCCCCCAGACCCUCCUAGGGACCCCUCAGGGACCCUCAGACCCACCCAGGGACCCCCAGACCCUCCUAGGGACCACCCAGAGACCCGCAGACCCGCCCACUGGCCUCCCAGAGACCCCCACUCACCUCCUUGUAUGCCUCCACUAAUCCCCCAGCCCCUCCCCGCGCCCCCCAGUGCCCACUCAGGCCCUCAGCUUGUCCCCGCAGCACUGCAACCUGGCCUGGAGGCGUUGCUGAGGCCUCCCCCGGGGCCGGGCUGGGGGCUGCAGGCCUGGGCCCAGCGCCCUCAGUGCCACCUGUGCCAGGCCAGCAGGCAGCGGCAGCAACACCUCCCUGGCAGGGCAGGUCAAGGAGCCUCGGGGGAGGGACCCCAGCACCCCCCAGCGUCCCCCCAGUCCCCUCCCACUGCUCCCAGUCCCCCCCAGGCACUCCUGGGACUCUCUACGGCACCCACAGACCCUUCCCCUCCCCCCCAGCCACCUCUAACCCCCUACAAAACCUCACCCGGGGACCCCCAUGACACCCCCAGACCCUCCCUCUGCUCCACUGCCCCCUCCCCCCAGCCACCUCGGACCCUUCCCAAGGCGCCCCCAAACCCCCCCGACCCUCCCCCUACCCCCUUCAGCCACUUCGGACCCCCCCCAAAUCCCCCUGCGACCCCCCCCAAGUGCCCCUGGCAACCACUGACUCAUCCCCAGACCCUCCCCCCACUGCUCGCUCCCCCCAGCCACCUCAUUCCCCACCCCGGGACUCCUCAAACCCCCUUGGGGCCCCCCCGAAGCGCCUCUGGGACUCUCCAAAACCCCCCAGCCCCUUCCCCCGCCCCCCCCGAGCCCUCUCGGACCCCUCCCGGGACCCCCCAACUCCGCCUAAGACCCCCCCGGGGCUGGGUACAGCCCCAGCAGCUCGCCCCGCGCCGCCAUCUUGCCUCCGUGCAGUCAUUUCCGGCUGGCAGGCGACGCUCUGGGCCGCUCCUCUCGCUGGUCAAAGCCGCUCUAGGCCUCCGAGGUCCUCCAGGCGCCACUGCGAGCGGCUCUGGGCCAAAGCAAUGACUGUGCUCAGCUGCAGGGAUGGAUUUGCCUGCACUCAAGCUGCUGCUGCCAGAGCCCCUCCGUGUCAAUCUGUGCUGCUGUUGGGUUCUGCAGCUCUCUCCAGCAAGCAUGGAAUGAGCUGAAGGAGCAGCAGGAGCAGCAUGGCCAUUCCCCAGGCAGCAGGAUGUUUCAGCCCUGCACCAGCUCAUGCGGGAGGAGCAGGUGCUGAGGAACAUCCCCCACGAGACGCAGGUGGCCAAAGAGGCUGGGUCAGGAGAGUCACAUUUCAUUCUUGAUGCUUUCUUUAAGAGAGGCAUACAACUGAGCUCCCUCAGAGAAGCAGCAUGAAGUGCAUGAAGGAUGCUGGCUGCACUCAGUACAGACAAGGCACAUUGGACUGCCAAAAAGGAGACCUUCUUCACCUGCUUCUCCUGUGCAAGCUCUUCUGUCUGUCUGCUGAGAUGUUUCUGCCUGUUUAUCUGGCAGAGAAGUGUUUGCUUUUUUGGCUGGCGAGCUGACCAUCCGUACUACCGUCGUCUUGAAUGCCUCCAACCAUCAGUAUUUGCUGCCAGACAGACGCCUUGAGAAGACAGAGGACAUGCUGCGGUGGCUCCGAUUGUUACGCCGUGUGAUUUAUCUUCCUGUCCUGGCUGUCUUCCCGUGCUGGGUGCUGGCAGUGAAUACGUGGUGAGGAGUUCUUGGGGUGUGCCAUCCUUUGCUGUUCUCACUGUGGGAACUCCAAGAACCAUGGAAUGGGCACAGGCUGGUGAUGGACUUCUGCAGCGAAGCAAGAGAGUCAUCUAUGAAGCCAAGGCUGCUGUAAUGAAAGCAGAAGUCAGCCACCUGCCACCCAUCCCCUCCUGACCCCAACCCCAGAAACCCAAAGCAGCACUUGGCACAGGAGGUCUCUCGUGUUGCAGUCUCAACUUCAAGCCCUGGAAUACUUUGCUUCAGCCAGCAGCAUGGGGUUGGAUACCAACAGCAGAGUCGACUUAACCUGUGACUAAGUGAACUUUAAGUUUUCUGACUCCACAGUGGAACUUGAUAAAGAAAGAUGUGAAUGGAA